rnacentral:tRNA from 1 species
AGAGAAUUAGUUUAAACUAAAACAUUAACUUGUCAAGUUAUAAAUAUACAAUUAUAUAUUCUCUU